rnacentral:rRNA from 3 species
AAAUUGAAGAGUUUGAUCAUGGCUCAGAUUGAACGCUGGCGGCAGGCCUAACACAUGCAAGUCGAGCGGUAGCACAGAGAGCUUGCUCUCGGGUGACGAGCGGCGGACGGGUGAGUAAUGUCUGGGAAACUGCCUGAUGGAGGGGGAUAACUACUGGAAACGGUAGCUAAUACCGCAUAACGUCGCAAGACCAAAGUGGGGGACCUUCGGGCCUCAUGCCAUCAGAUGUGCCCAGAUGGGAUUAGCUAGUAGGUGGGGUAACGG